rnacentral:rRNA from 1 species
CCAAUAGCGUAUAUUAAAGUUGUUGCAGUUAAAAAGCUCGUAGUUGAAUUUCGGGGUCAGUAGGCUGGUCGUGCCACAGGUAUGCACUGGUCUUACUGAUUCCUCCUUCCUGAUGAACCGUAAUGCCAUUAAUUUGGUGUUGCGGGGAAUCUGGACUGUUACUUGGAAAAAAUUAGAGUGUUUAAAGCAGGCGAACGCUUGGAUCCAUUAGCUUGGAAUAAUGAAAUCGGACGGUCGAUCCUAUUUUGUUGGUUUCUAGGUUUGACGUAAUGAUUAAUAGGGAUAGUUGGGGGCAUUAGUAGUCAAUUGUCAGAGGUGAAAUUCUUGGAUUUAUUGAAGACUAACUACUGCGAAAGCAUUUGCCAAGGAUGUUUUCAUUAAUCAAGAACGAAAGUUAGGGGAUCGAAGACGAUCAGAUACCGUCGUAGUCUUAACCAUAAACUAUGCCGACUAGGGAUCGGAUGAUGUUAAUUUUUUAAUGACUCAUUCGGCGCCUUACG